GUUACAGGUGAGUCUGCCAGGAGGACUUUCCCAGGUCCUUUGGUGGAUGUUGCACAUAAGCCUGGCUCCCAUCGCAGGGGUCCUCCAAGAAGGAAGAAGAAACCCAUAGGAGCUAGUAAGUCCCUGGAGGAUUCCAAACAUCUGGAACAAAAACGGAGUGAUGUGGACAGCCAGCGUGAUGCAGCCGACUCAACAGCACAUACUGACAACAUCUGGGAAAGCAUGAGAAGAGUUUUCUGCUGGGGAACACCUUGUUUGAUUAAGAUGAUGGCCAUUGUUGCUGGUGUGGCACUGUGCCUGAUGUUGUGCUGUGCUGGAAUCUGGUAUUGCUGGAAGAGAAAAUGGUGUUCCUGUGCAUGUCCAGAAGACCAGCCUAAAAAGAGAGGCAAUGAGAACCUGAUCAUUUAUCCCAGGUCUUCACUUCCGCCCCUAUUUGCCCUGCCGUGGCUGCAUCACCAUCCAUGAGGCCAUUCCAAAACCCACCCCUCCACAAUGAGACCCUCUGCCCCUAAGCCCCCUGGUCCUGUUCCCCGUCCAGGACUGAAGGUGGGCAGCCCUUGUCUGGCAGGG